GAUGAACGCUGGCGGCAUGUAUAAGGCAUGCAAGUCGAGGGUUGGUAGCAAUACCGGCCCGGCAGACGGGUGAGUAACACAUUGGCAACCUACCUCUACCUCGGGCAUAACCCUGCGAAAGCGGGGACAAUUCCCGAUAGUUAUGCGGGGACAUAAGUCAUUCGCAUAUAAAGUUCCGACGGGUAGGAGAGGGGCCUAUGGUCCAUCAGCUAGUUGGUAAGGUAAUGGCUUACCAAGGCUAUGACGGAUAGCGGGUGUGAGAGCACGACCCGCCUCACGGGGAC
rnacentral:rRNA from 1 species